ACGAGCAGAAAGUGAUUAAAUCACGUUAUCUAGAGGAAGGAGAAGUCGUAACAAGGUAACGGUAGGUGAACCUGCCGUUGGAUCAGUUCUAGUUUA
rnacentral:rRNA from 1 species